rnacentral:SRP_RNA from 1 species
GUCGGGGUGGUGGCGUGUGCCUGUAGUCCCAGCUACUUAGGAGGCUGAGGCUGGAGGAUCGCUUGAGCCCAGGAGUCCUGGGCUGUAGUGCGCUAUGCCAAUCAGGUGUCCGCACUAAGUUCGGCAUCAAUAUGGUGACCUCCCAGAAGCGGGGGACCACCAGGUUGCAAAAGGGGUGAACUGGCCAGGUUGGAAACGGAGCAGGUCAAAACUCCCGUGCUGAUCAGUAGUGGGAUCGCGCCUGUAAAGAGCCGCUGCACUCCAGCCUGGGCAACAUAGCAAGACCCCGUCUCU